UUUUCAAUAAAUUGAAAAGUUGACAUAAGUAACUAAUAAUUAUUAAUGAUGCAGAUUGAAUUUCCUUUUUGUAUAGGUUUUUUCCUCUAAAUUCAAAUUUUAUUAAUUAUUUAAAAAUAUUAGAUUAUCAAUGUUUUUUCUUCUAUGUGUUUUACAUUUUUGUCAUGAUUUUUCCGAUUAAAUCAAUUGUUUAGUUGUAGACUUAAGUAUGGAUCAGAGGUGAAUCCAUGAUUUGGUUUUGAAAAGAAAAAAAAAAUCUCUUCUAGUUGCUAUGUUCUAUUGUUGUACGGCUCACCUCUCAUUUUGCUGUUAUAUUAGACGAUGAUUAUUUCUUCAUUAGGAUUAAUCACUAGAUUCAAGUUCUCUCGAGUUAGAUCUUGUGUAUUAGUUAUCGCUUAUCUAUCAUGCAUUGUGUUUCUUUUGUUUGGCCAGAAUGUUUUUCACAAAAAUAUUAAUUUUUUUGGUGAUUUGUAUCUUUCAUAACUCUAAUAAUAAAAUUAGAUGAUAAAAAGAUCUAUCAAAUAUUAAAGUUAG
rnacentral:lncRNA from 1 species